rnacentral:rRNA from 1 species
CCUACGGGUGGCUGCAGUGGGGAAUCUUCCACAAUGGGCGAAAGCCUGAUGGAGCAACGCCGCGUGUAUGAAGAAGGUCUUCGGAUCGUAAAACCCUGUUGUUAGGGAAGAAAGUGCGUUAGAGUAACUGUUCACGUUUCGACGGUACCUGACCAGGAAGCAACGGCUAACUACGUGCCAGCAGCCGCGGUAAUACGUAGGUGGCAAGCGUUAUCCGGAUUUAUUGGGCGUAAAGCGAACGCAGGCGGUCGUUUAAGUCUGAUGUGAAAGCCUCGGGCUUAACCGGGGUAGUGCAUUGGAAACUGGCAGACUUGAGUGUCGUAGAGGGGAGUAGAACUCCAGGUGUAGCGGUGAAAUGCGUAGAGAUCUGGAAGAACACCAGUGGCGAAGGCGGCCCUCUGGUCGAAGACUGACGCUGAGGUGCGAAAGCGUGGGUAGCAAACAGGAUUAGAUACCCUUGUAGUC